GAGCAUAGUUAUCAAAGAUUAAGUCGAAGCCAGAGACUGGACAGCUACAAUUGUUUCUGACCAAGGGAGGAGUUCUGAGCCUGCAACAACUAUACCUUCGGUUAUACAAUAGACCAAUUAAUAUUCUUAUUUUACGAGAUGCAAUUUUGAUGUUUGGUACGAACCAUAAACAUAGUCAUUGGAUGAUGGAUUGUACGCGAUCUUAAUGGGUUAUCUAAAUGUUGUGGAGAAUCAUCUCUUAAUCAUGUCAAUUCAUCUUUCAAAACGAAGGCUAAAUCUUUACCAGAUUCAAUAAAAUAAAGAGAAAUAUGGCUUAAGAGUUUGAAAGUAAUUUACUUUGAAGAAAAUAUUGAGGCACUUAGAGCAGCUCCAGUAGACAGUUUUUGUAAGUUGCUUAUGUGAUAAGUGAACCACAAACGUUGCUUAUGUCGGCGAUGGAAGAAUCGCAUAAGCAACGCAACAUGGCUAAUUUUUGGUUUGUUGAUGAGUAAAUAUAAAAAAAAUUGAUUUUUUUCCUUUUUCUUUCUUUUUGGCUGAUGAAUCUUUCUCUUCUCUCCCGACAAGAAACAGCGAAAACAUGUGUGAUUCACUCCGAUUUCGGCGAAAACACGACAGCGACGUGUCGGAGAGCGAUAACGACGAUAUGAAUCGGUUGAUUUGUGUUCUGUACACUUUGAAUCGGUUGAUUUGUGUUCAGAUUUUGUUCGAAACGAAACAUGAUCGAUGAUGGUUCCUUGAUGGCCUUAAGGUGACGGCGAGGUCCACCGGCGAGUGAAUCAGCCACAAAAGGUUCGUCUUCUCAUGUCUGCUAUUCUGCAUGUUCUUGUAAUUUAUCUCGGUGUUCCCAGCAUGAAUCCGAAGUUAGUGAGGCAAAGACAUAUAUGGAUUAUUGUUCGUUUGGUCAGCUGAAUAAGUCAUAUGAUUUGA
rnacentral:lncRNA from 1 species